UCCUGAACACACACACACACACACACACACACACACACACACACACACACACACACACACACACACACACACACACACACACACACACACACACACACACACACACACACACACACACACACACACACCCCUCAGGGCAUGUACAAACUCUGUUAACAAACAUUGGGUCAUGAGUGGAUGACGUAGUGUCCUUUUUGUACACAAAGGGUCUGAAUAAAAAUGGCUAGUCGAAUUUUCCACUUUGACA